rnacentral:rRNA from 1 species
UACAGAGGUCUCAAGCGUUGUUCGGAUUCAUUGGGCGUAAAGGGUGCGUAGGUGGCGCCGUAAGUCGGGUGUGAAAGUCAAAGGCUCAACCUUUGAACGCCGAUGGAUACUGCCGGGCUAGAGUCCGGAAGAGGCGAGUGGAAUUCCUGGUGUAGCGGUGGAAUGCGCAGAUAUCAGGAGGAACACCAAUAGCGAAGGCAGCUCGCUGGGACGGUACUGACGCUGAGGCGCGAAAGCGUGGGGAGCGAACAGG